GUCCACGCCGUAAACGAUGUCUACUAGCCGUUGGGAGACUUGAUUUCUUAGUGGCGCAGCUAACGCAAUAAGUAGACCGCCUGGGAAGUACGGCCUCAAGGUUAAAACUCAAAUGAAUUGACGGGGGCCCCGCACAAGCGGUGGAGCAUGUGGUUUAAUUCGAUGCAACGCGAAGAACCUUACCAGGUCUUGACAUCCAGAGAACUUUCCAGAGAUGGAUUGGUGCCUUCGGGAGCUCUGAGACAGGUGCUGCAUGGCUGUCGU
rnacentral:rRNA from 1 species